rnacentral:rRNA from 1 species
UUGAAAGGGAAACGAUUGAAGUCAGUCGUACUUGCGGGUAAUCAGCCUUUUGGGUGCGAUUCUGUGGAGUGUGGGGAGUUAAACGCCUCCAUACCUGCGUAUUCGUGCACUUUGGGUGUACUUGCCCGUGUGGUAGGUUAACAUCAAUUUUGAUCAUCAUAAAAUGGUUGGAGGAAUGUAGCUUCGAUCUCGUAUUGAAGUGUUAUAGCCUUCGGCAGAUGUGAUGAUCGGGAUUGAGGAUUGCAACGGAUACCCUUCGGGGCUACCUGUCUGAUCUCUGAUCGUUGCUCUGGUGUCGAAAGCUUGCUUACGGUCAUCAAAGUCGAUGGUCAACAGGUUAGAACGGGUUAAAUUCGUUAAGGAUGUUGACGUA